GAUGAACGCUAGCUACAGGCUUAACACAUGCAAGUCGAGGGGUAACGACAUCGAUAGCUUGCUUUUGUUGGUCGUCGACCGGCGCACGGGUGGGUAACGCGUAUCCUACUUGCCCAUCACUUGGGAAUAACCUUGUGAAAGUAAGACUAUUACCCUAUGACAUCCCUCGAAUACAUCUGAAUGGGAUUAAUGAUUUAUCGGUGUUGGAUGGGGAUGUGUCUGAUUAGCUUGUUGGCGGGGUAACGGCCCACCAAGGCAACGAGCAGUAGGGGUUCUGAGAGGAAGGACACCCACAUUGGAACAGAGACAAGGUCCAAACUCCUACGGGAGGCAGCAGUGAGGAAUAUUGGUAAAUGGGCGAGAGCCUGAAACAGCCAAGUAGCGUGCAGGAUGACGGCACUAUGGGUUGUAAACUGAUUUUAUAAGGGAAUAAAGUGGGUCUAAUGAGACUUUUUGCAUGUACCUUAUGAAUAAGGAACGGCUAAUUCCGUG
rnacentral:rRNA from 1 species